rnacentral:rRNA from 1 species
UACGUAGGGUGCGAGCGUUAAUCGGAAUUACUGGGCGUAAAGCGUGCGCAGGCGGUUUGGUAAGACAGAUGUGAAAUCCCCGGGCUUAACCUGGGAAUUGCAUUUGUGACUGCUCGGCUAGAGUGUGUCAGAGGGGGGGUAGAAUUCCACGUGUAGCAGUGAAAUGCGUAGAUAUGUGGAGGAAUACCGAUGGCGAAGGCAGCCCCCUGGGAUAACACUGACGCUCAUGCACGAAAGCGUGGGGAGCAAACAGGAUUAGAGUACC